CAGAAAUCAGGAAUGCAUGGGAUGGAAUGAGAGGAGCUGCAGGUGGUACCAGCCCAGAUUGCUGAGUCAUUAUAUCAAAGGAGGAACCUGGGCAUUGCUCAACUUGAGUUAGUACAGAAGCACCAGUAAAAGACACGCAGAACCAGAAAUGGGAAUCAAAAUGCAAAGCCAGGAAAUCAGMGGCCUUCUACAACCUACCAGGUGGAAUAGCUCAUGGUCCAGUUUUUGGAUUCUACAACACCAACUAGGCAUCCUGUAUUUCCAUCCAAUUUUGACACUCAUUUCCCAGAGUCAGCAUCAGUUCCAACAGAUUGAAGGGCUCAGUCCCACAAGACUGYCACCACUUCAGAUGCCAGUCACAAGUCCUGGACCRCUGGUACUUCUGAGCAACGGGCGAUAAAUCAGGGAGUCCCAUGACUUCUCUUCAGGUUCGAUAAUUUGCUGGAACAACUCACAGGACUCAGG
rnacentral:lncRNA from 1 species